UAAUACGUAGGGGGCAAGCGUUGUCCGGAUUUAUUGGGCGUAAAGAGCGUGUAGGCGGCCAGGUAGGUCCGUUGUGAAACCUCGAGGCUCAACCUCGAGACGUCGAUGGAAACCAUCUGGCUAGAGUCCGGAAGAGGAGAGUGGAAUUCCUGGUGUAGCGGUGAAAUGCGCAGAUAUCAGGAAGAACACCCGUGGCGAAGGCGGCUCUCUGGGACGGUACUGACGCUGAGACGCGAAAGCGUGGGGAGCGAACAGGA
rnacentral:rRNA from 1 species